AUUGAACGCUGGCGGCAGGCCUAACACAUGCAAGUCGAGCGAGCGGCGGACGGGUGAGUAAUGUCUGGGAAACUGCCUGAUGGAGGGGGAUAACUACUGGAAACGGUAGCUAAUACCGCAUACCAUCAGAUGUGCCCAGAGGGGAUUAGCUAGUAGGUGGGGUAAUGGCUCACCUAGGCGACGGUCCCUAGCUGGCAUGGGAGGGUGACCAGCCACACUGUAGCGGAUACACGGUCCGAACUCCGACGGGAGGCAGCAGUGGGGAAUAUUGGACAAUGGUCGAAGGCAUGAUCCAGCAAGGCCGCGUGUGUGAAGAAGUUCGUCGGAGUGAAAGGCACUUUAAGUGGGGAGGCGUUACCAACAGAAUAAGCACCGGCUAACUUCGUGCCAGCCGCCGCGGUAAUAC
rnacentral:rRNA from 1 species